rnacentral:rRNA from 1 species
AUUGAACGCUGGCGGCAGGCUUAACACAUGCAAGUCGAGCGGGGGAAGGUAGCUUGCUACCGGACCUAGCGGCGGACGGGUGAGUAAUGCUUAGGAAUCUGCCUAUUAGUGGGGGACAACAUCUCGAAAGGGAUGCUAAUACCGCAUACGUCCUACGGGAGAAAGCAGGGGAUCUUCGGACCUUGCGCUAAUAGAUGAGCCUAAGUCGGAUUAGCUAGUUGGUGGGGUAAAGGCCUACCAAGGCGACGAUCUGUAGCGGGUCUGAGAGGAUGAUCCGCCACACUGGGACUGAGACACGGCCCAGACUCCUACGGGAGGCAGCAGUGGGGAAUAUUGGACAAUGGGGGGAACCCUGAUCCAGCCAUGCCGCGUGUGUGAAGAAGGCCUUAUGGUUGUAAAGCACUUUAAGCGAGGAGGAGGCUACUUUAGUUAAUACCUAGAGAUAGUGGACGUUACUCGCAGAAUAAGCACCGGCUAACUCUGUGCCAGCAGCCGCGGUAAUACAGAGGGUGCAAGCGUUAAUCGGAUUUACUGGGCGUAAAGCGUGCGUAGGCGGCUUAUUAAGUCGGAUGUGAAAUCCCCGAGCUUAACUUGGGAAUUGCAUUCGAUACUGGUGAGCUAGAGUAUGGGAGAGGAUGGUAGAAUUCCAGGUGUAGCGGUGAAAUGCGUAGAGAUCUGGAGGAAUACCGAUGGCGAAAGCAGCCAUCUGGCCUAAUACUGACGCUGAGUACGAAAGCAUGGGGAGCAA